UGUGUCGACGGAUCGAUGCGGCGCUCAAGGAGGAGCGUGAACAGGACAUCGCAGGAUGCGAUUCAUCAGGAUGAUGAAAAGGAAAAAAGGGACUAGGGAAAAAUGUGGGCGGGUCAAACCGCCCCUUUUUUU
rnacentral:sRNA from 1 species